ACCCACAGACACACCGGCCCUUUGCGGAUAAAAUUGCCCACCCCUCGAUUAGGUGAUCCAUCAGAAGCUGAGAAGGUUUGGGCCUGGUCAGUACUUGGAUGGUCGAUCAUCUAGGAAAGAGGGCUGCUGCUGGAU
rnacentral:rRNA from 1 species